UCCUACGGGAGGCAGCAGUAGGGAAUCUUCCGCAAUGGACGAAAGUCUGACGGAGCAACGCCGCGUGAGUGAUGAAGGUUUUCGGAUCGUAAAACUCUGUUGUUAGGGAAGAACAAGUUGGGUAGUAACUGACCCAACCUUGACGGUACCUAACCAGAAAGCCACGGCUAACUACGUGCCAGCAGCCGCGGUAAUACGUAGGUGGCAAGCGUUGUCCGGAAUUAUUGGGCGUAAAGCGCUCGCAGGCGGUCUUUUAAGUCUGAUGUGAAAGCCCACGGCUUAACCGUGGAGGGUCAUUGGAAGCUGGAGGACUUGAGUACAGAAGAGGAGAGUGGAAUUCCACGUGUAGCGGUGAAAUGCGUAGAGAUGUGAAGGAAUACCGGUGGCGAAGGCGGCCCCCUGGACAAAGACUGACGCUCAGAUGCGAAAGCGUGGGGAGCAAACAAGAUUAGAUACCCUGGUAGUCCACGCCGUAAACGAUGUCUACUUGGAGGUUGGUGUCUUGGACACUGGCUUUCGGAGCUAACGCGUUAAGUAGACCGCCUGGGGAGUACGGUCGCAAGAUUAAAACUCAAAUGAAUUGACGGA
rnacentral:rRNA from 1 species